ensembl:lncRNA
AUGAUGAUAGCCGACCGCUUCGGCCUGAACGGACCUGUUGUGACAGAGCCGCCUCCCACAUAUGAGGAGAGCAUCCGUCAGUCUGUCCAGUCCAUUGACGUCCCGUUUGACAUCCUGGCACCCGAGGAGGAGCCGCCACAUGCACCAGUCACAGUCUCUGAGGCCGGCACAGAUUUACCUGCAUAUGAAGAUCUACCUCAAAUCACAGACUCACAAGAUCCCAAUACCACUCUUAAUUAAAGCGUGCUCAUGCACGGGAAGAAUGCAAUCUAUCCUCAGAGGAAAAUGAACAGCUGUUGAGCUGUCGCUGCCCUGAUGAGCGGCCGGCGUGUGCGUGAAUCCACUGUGCUCGCAAAAGACACCAAAAUAGGGUAGGACUCGACCUAUGCAAUAACUUGCACUAGCAAGUAGGAGAAGGAUGCUGCAUCACUACUGGAAGAAACGGAGAGAAGAACAAGAAUAUGCCAUUUGAAUUAUCUAUUUAAGUUCUAUCUGUUCAAAACGAACAUGAAUCUGCUACUUUAUAGAAUUAUACUGACUAUAGAUAUUUCAGUGACUUUUCCAAGCCUAAAAAUGUAGAAAUUACAUCACAGAAUCUGCAGAAAAACUAAUUUAAGGAGUGGGGAAUGUCAAUUUCAGUUUGAUUAUAAAAAGUGACAUGAGGUAUGAAAACAAAUGUGUUUUUUUUUUUUUUUGGAAUAACAUCCACUUAUCAGUCGUUCACAGUAACACUAGUGGCAUUUAUUAACUAUAAAUAAAUCUAUUGUGAGUUCAUGAUUAAUUAUUUCA